GCCAGCCUCGGCUUCCCAAAGUGCUGGGAAUACAGGCAUGAGCCACCGCGCCCGGCCCAGGACCCCACUUUUUAAAACAUUGAAACCAGUCACCUAAAAGAAGGGAAGGCAAAAGAAUGGAUUUCACACCUAGAGCUUUCACUUGCUUUAUGGAAAGAGCCCCUUGUCAUUUGGGUCGUGAAAAGAUGUCUGAGGGCACUAAUACGCGUAAAGCAUCAGCCAGGAAACACAGGCCUCUCAGGUGACGAGGAGGUACAAUGGUAAUCACACCUGAUCCGUUCGCAGCUUCACAGGAGGCCCCAUUUUGAGCGGUGCGUGAACGUGUGGUCCACGUCCCCAACACUCAGGAGAGGGGAAAGCAUGUGUAGGACACGCCGGUGAGGCGGCGAAGGAAGCUGCUGCUGGGGCGGGGGCUGCUGGGAAGUACGAGGCUUCUGUAGCAAGCCACUUGCUGGUGGCUGUCCCCGGCUGUCACCUAAAACCUCCAGGUCAGAAGCACCUUUUCUGCAGUUGGCUCAGGAAAAUGAACAGACUCAGGGUUGGAAUAUUUUUCUUUUCAGAAUUUCCGAGACGUACAGAUCUCUCCAAGCAUCCCAAAAGGCGUUUGUUCCUGGUGGGGCCGAGGGCCUGUUCUUGGAGACAGAUGGCGAGCAGCGGCCAGCAGCCAGCAGCUGCCCUGAGUGCUCAACUUCCCCUCUAGAGACAGGCUUUGCAGGGCGCGGUGGCUCACACCUAUAAUCCCAGCACUUUGGGGAGGCUGAAGCGGAUGGAUCACGAGGUGACAUUCGCCUGCACAACAGCAAGCCUGGUGACUGACUGGCAGCUCGGUGAAUUCCAGCUGAGUGCCUGUGAUUCCACCCCCUUACCUCCCGCUCGAGUGACAAUGUAAGCAUGACCUCGAAAUUGACCUCAUUUGUAUCUACUCCUCUCCCAGUCACAUUCCUGUCAGCCUUCACCAUCCACCCAGUCACAUUCCCUGUCAGCCUUCACUAUCCACCCAGACCGGGUUACAGAGCACACAGGUGAGCCCGCGGCCGCAGGUUUCAAAAACUCACUUUAUUCCAAUGUGAAAUGAGGACGUGAUGGUUUAAAAACAAGAAAAAGUUCUUGCUCAGCGGUGGGGAUACUUUGCUUGCUAGCUCACGCCCAUCCCCUUUGAAACAAGGUGUCUGGACAGACCACACCCAAAAGCAGCUCUCCGUAAACCCAGGCGGACGCCCGUCUCCUCCAGGUCUCAGGGUGGUCACAUCCUCCCCAACCAGGGCUCUGACAGCAGGCACAGAGCAGCAGCACAGGAAGGGGGGAGCGGGAAGAGCGGGGCCUGUGGGGGUCCCCACCACCCCCAGAGCUAGUCCCAGACCAGGAAGGGAGCUGGGCUCCAGA